rnacentral:rRNA from 1 species
GGACUACAAGGGUUUCUAAUCCUGUUUGCUACCCACGCUUUCGAGCCUCAGCGUCAGUUACAGACCAGAGAGUCGCCUUCGCCACUGGUGUUCCUCCAUAUAUCUACGCAUUUCACCGCUACACAUGGAAUUCCACUCUCCUCUUCUGCACUCAAGUCAACCAGUUUCCAAUGACCCUCCCCGGUUGAGCCGGGGGCUUUCACAUCAGACUUAAUUGACCGCCUGCGCUCGCUUUACGCCCAAUAAAUCCGGACAACGCUUGCCACCUACGUAUUACCGCGGCUGCUGGCAC